GUGUAGUGCGAUGUGGGGACGGAGAAGGUUAGCUCAGCCGGGUGUUGGAUGUCCCGGUUCAAGCCUGUAGUCGUGCCUGGUAGGUAAAUCCGCCGGGCUUAGAUGAGGGGUGAUAACGAGGAGGCUUGCCUCCGAAGUGAGUGAUACCCAGCUUCCAGGAAAAGCCACUAAGCUUCAGCUGCACACGACCGUACCGCAAACCGACACUGGUGCGCGAGAUGAGUAUUCUCAGGCGCUUGAGAGAACUCGGGAGAAGGAACUCGGCAAAUUGACACCGUAACUUCGGAAGAAGGUGUGCCUUUAGUAGGUGAACCCGUACAGGGGGAGCCCAAUGAGGUUGCAAAGAAUCGGUGGCUGCGACUGUUUAAUAAAAACACAGCACUCUGCAAACACGAAAGUGGACGUAUAGGGUGUGACGCCUGCCCGGUGCUGGAAGAUUAAGUGAUGGGGUGCAAGCUCUUGAUCGAAGUCCCAGUAAACGGCGGCCGUAACCAUAACGGUCCUAAGGUAGCGAAAUUCCUUGUCGGGUAAGUUCCGACCUGCACGAAUGGCGUAACGAUGGCCACACUGUCUCCUCCCGAGACUCAGCGAAGUUGAAAUGUUUGUGAUGAUGCAAUCUCCCCGCGGAAAGACGGAAAGACCCCAUGAACCUUUACUGUAGCUUUGUAUUGGACUUUGAACGGAUCUGUGUAGGAUAGGUGGGAGGCUUUGAAGCAGGGUCGCUAGAUCUUGUGGAGCCAACGUUGAAAUACCACCCUGGUGCGUUUGAGGUUCUAACCUAGGCCCGUUAUCCGGGUCGGGGACAGUGCAUGGUAGGCAGUUUGACUGGGGCGGUCUCCUCCCAAAGCGUAACGGAGGAGUUCGAAGGUACGCUAGUUACGGUCGGACAUCGUGACGAUAGUGCAAUGGCAUAAGCGUGCUUAACUGCGAGACUGACAAGUCGAGCAGAUGCGAAAGCAGGACAUAGUGAUCCGGUGGUUCUGUAUGGAAGGGCCAUCGCUCAACGGAUAAAAGGUACUCUGGGGAUAACAGGCUGAUACCGCCCAAGAGUUCAUAUCGACGGCGGUGUUUGGCACCUCGAUGUCGGCUCAUCUCAUCCUGGGGCUGUAGCCGGUCCCAAGGGUAUGGCUGUUCGCCAUUUAAAGAGGUACGUGAGCUGGGUUUAAAACGUCGUGAGACAGUUUGGUCCCUAUCUUCCGUGGGCGCUGCAGAUUUGAGGAAGCCUGCUCCUAGUACGAGAGGACCGGAGUGGACGCACCUCUGGUGUACCUGUUGUCACGCCAGUGGCAUUGCAGGGUAGCUAAGUGCGGAAGAGAUAACCGCUGAAAGCAUCUAAGCGGGAAACUCGUUUCAAGAUGAGAUCUGCCGGGGCCUUGAGCCCCCUGAAGAGUCGUUCUAGACCAGGACGUUGAUAGGCUGGGUGUGGAAGCGCAGUAAUGCGUUAAGCUAACCAGUACUAAUUGCUCGUGCGGCUUGACCCU
rnacentral:rRNA from 1 species